GGGGAAUAUUGGACAAUGGGCGCAAGCCUGAUCCAGCAAUUCCGCGUGGGUGAAGAAGGUCUUCGGAUUGUAAAGCCCUUUCGGCAGGGACGAUGAUGACGGUACCUGCAGAAGAAGCCACGGCUAACUUCGUGCCAGCAGCCGCGGUAAUACGAAGGGGGCUAGCGUUGCUCGGAAUGACUGGGCGUAAAGGGCGCGUAGGCGGUUCACACAGUCAGGCGUGAAAUUCCUGGGCUUAACCUGGGGGC
rnacentral:rRNA from 1 species